GAGUAAUGUAUAGGAAUCUACCUAGUAGUACGGAAUAAUUGUUGGAAACGGCAACUAAUACCGUAUACGCCCUACGGGGGAAAAAUUUAUUGCUAUUAGAUGAGCCUAUAUUAGAUUAGUUAGUUGGUGAGGUAAAGGCUUACCAAGACAAUGAUCUAUAGCUGAUCUGAGAGGAUGAUCAGCCACACUGGAACUGAGAUACGGUCCAGACUCCUACGGGAGGCAGCAGUGGGGAAUAUUGGACAAUGGGCGAAAGCCUGAUCCAGCCAUGCCGCAUGAGUGAAGAAGGCCUUCGGGUUGUAAAGCUCUUUUAGUGAGGAAGAUAAUGACGGUACUCACAGAAGAAGUCCUGGCUAACUCUGUGCCAGCAGCCGCGGUAAUACGGAGAGGGCUAGCGUUAUUCGGAAUCAUUGGGCGUAAAGGGCGCGUAGGCGGGUUAAUAAGUUAAAAGUGAAAUCCCAAGGCUCAACCUUGGAACUGCUUUUAAAACUGCUAGUCUAGAGAUUGAAAGAGGAUAGAGGAAUUCCUAGUGUANAGGUGAA
rnacentral:rRNA from 1 species